CUAGGGAAGAAACAGAGCAAUGAAGAUAUUCAUCACACAAUUUGAAUGAACAGUGACUGGUGUCUGGGCUCCUCUCCAGCAUGGAUUUUCUCAAGUAGGAUUGCAGGAUCAACAGAAUGUGCCCUAAAGUUUGCUGAAGAUGACCAGUUCCAGUUCCAAAAAGGGCUUCACAUCCACUCUCAUAAGCAAAGGUGUCCAGACUAGUCCAGAGGAUGGAAACGGCAGGUGAGAUCAAAGACCCCUGAGUCUGAUGUGAAAGGUUGGAUGUGGCUGAGAAAGAAGUGUGGAAAGGGGAGUAGGUAUUGUGAAGAGCUGUAACAGAGGAAGCAAGAAUAUUUAUGGUCGAAUUUCCCCCAGAAGACGAAAAUAGGAAAAACCUAUUUUUUAAGUUGCAA